UACAGAGGGUGCAAGCGUUGUUCGGAAUUAUUGGGCGUAAAGAGCUCGUAGGCGGCUUGUCACGUCGGGUGUGAAAGCCCGGGGCUUAACCCCGGGUCUGCAUUCGAUACGGGCUAGCUAGAGUGUGGUAGGGGAGAUCGGAAUUCCUGGUGUAGCGGUGAAAUGCGCAGAUAUCAGGAGGAACACCGGUGGCGAAGGCGGGUCUCUGGGCAGUAACUGACGCUGAGGAGCGAAAGCGUGGGGAGCGAACAGG
rnacentral:rRNA from 1 species